rfam:Epilithonimonas sp. 36-9 SCNpilot_cont_300_bf_scaffold_243, whole genome shotgun sequence.
CCCUAGCCCCGAUAGGAACGGCAUCCUUUUUCUUUUUUUGCAAAAAAAGAAAAAGAUAUAGUGGAUAGCGGGAAUUGCU